rnacentral:rRNA from 1 species
UACGGAGGGUGCAAGCGUUAAUCGGAAUUACUGGGCGUAAAGCGUGCGCAGGCGGUUUGUUAAGUCCGCUGUGAAAUCCCCGAGCUCAACUUGGGAAUUGCAGUGGAUACUGGCAAGCUGGAGUAUGGUAGAGGAAGGUGGAAUUCCCGGUGUAGCAGUGAAAUGCGUAGAUAUCAUUUGGAACGCCAAUGGUGAAAACAGGUAGCUGGGGAAGUGCUGACGCUGAGACACGAAAGCCAGGGGAGCGAACGGG